AGAGUUUGAUCAUGGCUCAGAUUGAACGCUGGCGGCAGGCCUAACACAUGCAAGUCGAACGGUAACAGGAAGCAGCUUGCUGCUUUGCUGACGAGUGGCGGACGGGUGAGUAAUGUCUGGGAAACUGCCUGAUGGAGGGGGAUAACUACUGGAAACGGUAGCUAAUACCGCAUAAUGUCGCAAGACCAAAGAGGGGGACCUUCGGGCCUCUUGCCAUCGGAUGUGCCCAGAUGGGAUUAGCUGGUAGGUGGGGUAAAGGCUCACCUAGGCGACGAUCCCUAGCUGGUCUGAGAGGAUGACCAGCCACACUGGAACUGAGACACGGUCCAGACUCCUACGGGAGGCAGCAGUGGGGAAUAUUGCACAAUGGGCGCAAGCCUGAUGCAGCCAUGCCGCGUGUAUGAAGAAGGCCUUCGGGUUGUAAAGUACUUUCAGCGGGGAGGAAGGGAGUAAAGUUAAUACCUUUGCUCAUUGACGUUACCCGCAGAAGAAGCACCGGCUAACUCCGUGCCAGCAGCCGCGGUAAUACGGAGGGUGCAAGCGUUAAUCGGAAUUACUGGGCGUAAAGCGCACGCAGGCGGUUUGUUAAGUCAGAUGUGAAAUCCCCGGGCUCAACCUGGGAACUGCAUCUGAUACUGGCAAGCUUGAGUCUCGUAGAGGGGGGUAGAAUUCCAGGUGUAGCGGUGAAAUGCGUAGAGAUCUGGAGGAAUACCGGUGGCGAAGGCGGCCCCCUGGACGAAGACUGACGCUCAGGUGCGAAAGCGUGGGGAGCAAACAGGAUUAGAUACCCUGGUAGUCCACGCCGUAAACGAUGUCGACUUGGAGGUUGUGCCCUUGAGGCGUGGCUUCCGGAGCUAACGCGUUAAGUCGACCGCCUGGGGAGUACGGCCGCAAGGUUAAAACUCAAAUGAAUUGACGGGGGCCCGCACAAGCGGUGGAGCAUGUGGUUUAAUUCGAUGCAACGCGAAGAACCUUACCUGGUCUUGACAUCCACGGAAGUUUUCAGAGAUGAGAAUGUGCCUUCGGGAACCGUGAGACAGGUGCUGCAUGGCUGUCGUCAGCUCGUGUUGUGAAAUGUUGGGUUAAGUCCCGCAACGAGCGCAACCCUUAUCCUUUGUUGCCAGCGGUCCGGCCGGGAACUCAAAGGAGACUGCCAGUGAUAAACUGGAGGAAGGUGGGGAUGACGUCAAGUCAUCAUGGCCCUUACGACCAGGGCUACACACGUGCUACAAUGGCGCAUACAAAGAGAAGCGACCUCGCGAGAGCAAGCGGACCUCAUAAAGUGCGUCGUAGUCCGGAUUGGAGUCUGCAACUCGACUCCAUGAAGUCGGAAUCGCUAGUAAUCGUGGAUCAGAAUGCCACGGUGAAUACGUUCCCGGGCCUUGUACACACCGCCCGUCACACCAUGGGAGUGGGUUGCAAAAGAAGUAGGUAGCUUAACCUUCGGGAGGGCGCUUACCACUUUGUGAUUCAUGACUGGGGUGAAGUCGUAACAAGGUAACCGUAGGGGAACCUGCGGUUGGAUCACCU
rnacentral:rRNA from 6 species